rnacentral:rRNA from 1 species
AAACUUUCAGCAAUGGAUCUCUUGGCUCUCGCAUCGAUGAAGAACGCAGCGAAACGCGAAAUGUAAUGUGAAUUGCAGAAUUCUGUGAAUCAUCGAAUCUUUGAACGCACCUUGCGCUCUUGGGUUAUUCCCUGAGAGCAUGCUUGUUUGAGUGUCGCAA